rnacentral:rRNA from 1 species
GACGAACGCUGGCGGCGCGCCUAACACAUGCAAGUCGAACGGAGCUGUGAGAAGCUUGCUCUUCUUAGCUCAGUGGCGAACGGGUGAGUAACGCGUGAGUAACCUGCCCUGGAGUGGGGGACAACAGUUGGAAACGACUGCUAAUACCGCAUAAGCUCACGAUCCGGCAUCGGCUUGAGGGAAAAGGAUUUAUUCGCUUCAGGAUGGACUCGCGUCCGAUUAGCCAGUUGGUGAGGUAACGGCCCACCAAGGCGACGAUUGGUAGCCGGACGGAGAGGUUGACCGGCCACACUGGGACUGAGACACGGCCCAGACUCCUACGGGAGGCAGCAGUGGGGGAUAUUGCACAAUGGGGGAAACCCUGAUGCAGCGACGCCGCGUGGAGGAAGAAGGUCUUAGGAUUGUAAACUCCUGUUGUUAGGGACGAUAAUGACGGUACCUAAAAAGUAAGCACCGGCUAACUACGUG